CUUUCAACAACGGAUCUCUUGGUUCUGGCAUCGAUGAAGAAGGCAGCCAAAUGCGAUAAGUAAUGUGAAUUGCAGAAUUCAGUGAAUCAUCGAAUCUUUGAACGCACAUUGCGCCCCUCGGUAUUCCGGGGGGCAUGCCUGUUCGAGCGUCA
rnacentral:rRNA from 1 species